rnacentral:rRNA from 1 species
UACGGGGGGGGGCAAGCGUUGUUCGGAAUUACUGGGCGUAAAGGGCGCGUAGGCGGUCCCAUAAGUCCCGCGUGAAAUCCCCCGGCUCAACCGGGGAACUGCGCGGGAAACUGCGGGGCUAGAGUAUGGGAGAGGGAAGUGGAAUUUCCGGUGUAGCGGUGAAAUGCGUAGAUAUCGGAAGGAACAUCAGUGGCGAAAGCGACUUCCUGGACCAAUACUGACGCUCAUGUGCGAAAGCGUGGGGAGCAAACAGG